CGCGGACCCACUAUGUGUGGGCUUUUACGCUAUUUCUCUUCAUUAAAAAUGUUAAUUAAUCUUUUUCGAUCGUCUUAUCAAAAGCGCCACAUAUUAUCUCAAGGAAACGAGAAACUGUAUUACGUCAUCAUUAUAUUUUGUUUUUUUCAAUGCGACUUGCUUUCCUCCAAUCACAGUCUGAUCGGCCACACUGCAGCUGCGCGCCUCUUACCCUAUGCUCUUACCCAACUCUCUCUCGGUAUCGCGAGAUUUCAUAGUCUUCCUCGCCGUGUGGACGUUAUCUCUGGAAGGUGUGCUCUAUGGCGGUGGCUGUUUCAGCGGGAGGUGAGGCUCUGAUGAUGGAGAAUGGACAGAGCACGGCCUCGAAGCUCGGCCUGCCACCCCUCACCCCAGAACAGCAGGAGGCGCUACAGAAGGUGAGACUUUCCCCAGACACUGCUUCUGCAUAUGGGUACUGAAAUCCAUUAUAUUGAUGCGUGACGUGACUUUACCAUACUCAAUAACAGUUAUUCACAAGUGUAUCAGUCAGGGGCUUUCAUUUAUGGUUUUGUGAUCUUUUUCAUGUCCUCUAGCUUUACAAGCAUGUGUUUGUUCAGUGCACAUGUAAGCAAGCAGUGGACAAGAGCAGAACCAGUGUUAUGCCUUCGGUGCUAGUGGCAUCUGAUUAUCUGCUAGUACUAUUCUCAAUAGCUGGGACACUAUUUAAAGUGGAUGAUUAUUCUUAUUUAACAUUUGUGAAUUUGAGAAGAUUUGUAAAAUUUCAUAUGUGACAAAAUUUUAGAGUUGUACAGUAUGUUGGUUUACUUGAAGCAGGGCUUAACGUUAAGCCUUGACGUGCUUGUCUUUCGGAUAAGUAAAUCAGUCAUUCAUCUUGUCAAUAAAUUAAAUUUAUUCAGAAUCA
ensembl:lncRNA